AGAAACGAUUAUAACAUUGGCUUCAGUUGCUACCAAAUUAAGAUGCUUGUGGUAUGAAGUUGAAGAAGCAGAUUCAAUCACAAAGCCGCCGCCGUGAAAGUAGACGAAAAGGGAAAUUUUUUGAACCGGGUUCGAGAUUUUUGGGCAGGUAAAGUCUUGCUGAUAGAUUAAUUGUUGGAUCAAUUUGGACAUCUUUGAUUUGGACUCCGGUUUCAGGAUCCAAUUCAGCUGGGACAACGCCUUCGCCCAUCAGCCUCUCGAUUCGGCCAUCUUUGUAAACUCUGAUCAAUGGGAAAAGGUCAUGUUGUAUUUCCGCCAUUGCUGAAAGCUAAGUUGCAGAGGAAGGUUUGGUAUACCAUGCUCUCAAGUGCUGUGACAGGUACUUUUAAAAGCAAAUAUUUGGUACUCUUUUAGUUGUUUGCCUACAUGUUUGUUCCAAUUAGAAGACUUAACAAAUUGUUUGUUUAGUUCUUUUUUUAAAAUAAAAUAAAAUAAAUAUAUUUAGAAAAAGUACUAUAAAUAAUAGAAAUAUUUUAUGAAAUACAAGAAAAUUGUAGUGAAACAACACUGAACA
rnacentral:lncRNA from 1 species